rnacentral:rRNA from 1 species
UACGUAGGGUGCGAGCGUUAAUCGGAAUUACUGGGCGUAAAGGGUGCGCAGGCGGUUAUAUAAGACAGAUGUGAAAUCCCCGGGCUCAACCUGGGAACUGCGUUUGUGACUGUAUGACUAGAGUACGGUAGAGAGGGGUGGAAUUCCUGGUGUAGCAGUGAAAUGCGUAGAGAUGCGGAGGAACACCGAUGGCGAAGGCAGCCCCCUGGGCCAACACUGACGCUCAGGCACGAAAGCUCGGGGAGCGAACGGG